rnacentral:tRNA from 1 species
AUUAUAUUAAAUAAAAUUAAUAAAAUAAUUGGGUGUUAAUUUUACUGUUUAUUAAAAACAUAGCAUAUAAUU